rnacentral:lncRNA from 1 species
AGGAAAUUUCUGGUGGGCCUUCGCGGCUCCGCUGGGUUGGCAGCCGCUUGAGCCACUGCGAGGAAAGCAAAGUCUGGGCCAUGGAGAUGAGCCUAGUCCUGCUGUUCCUGAUCCGCACUGCCCUUUUUGCACCCCAGGGAGCUGCUGCUGACGGCGCCUCCCUCUGUCGCCAAAGUUGGAGUGCAGUGGCGCGGUCUCGGCUCACUGCAAGCUCCGCCUCCCGGAUUCAAGUGAUUCCCCUGCCUUAGCCUCCUAAGUAGCUGGGAUUACAAGUGCCCACCACCACACCCGGCUAAUAUUUUGUAUUUUAAUAGAGACUGGGUUUCACCAUGUUGACCGGGAUGGUCUCAAUCUCCUGACCUCGUGAUCUGCCUGCCUAAGCCUCCCGAAGUGCUGGGAUUACAGGCGUGAGCCACCACACCUAGCUGGAAGAGGAGAUAAAUAUAUGAAGGUGCUGUUUGGCACAGAAUUUAAUAGGGAAGAAAGAGACAGUAUAACUCACCAGUGCUGGGUCUCAUCAUCCUGCAAUUUCAGAACAACUAUGAAUACAAAAAGAAUUUUAAAAUCCCAGUCCUGCCUAGAAAGGGGAAGUCAUCUCUAAAUAUGGUGGCCCUGGGGCAGCUGGCCUCCCUGCCAGGCCUCUUCCAUGGGGGCCCUUUCUGCAGUGACUGUGGUUUCUUCCCAUUUUACUCUGUCCUGUGUCCUGACUGAAGCGACAAGGUGUGUCUGCAGCUGUGCUCACACCUGGAGGAAACCUCAAUGGUCACAUCCUCUUUCCUGUGUCAAGAAGCAUCGUCCGGGGAGGUGAGAAGAAGACAGUCCUCCCUAGAAUUGAAGAACCAGGGAGAACCAGAUGGGCUGGGCAGAUCAAGCACAAACCUGAGAUCCAACUGUCCCUCUUAUGCGCCUGGGUUUCUUCACUGGACACCAGUAUGAGUCAACUUUCCUGUAAAGCAGAACAAGCACGAGAUUGGACCAUGUUAGAGGAGGAAUGGUGUCAUCUCCACUUCUGGAGAGAUCACUGUCCCCGUGUUUGGGGGAAGGACCAAGCCUCACUCCCAUGCAGAGAAGAAGCUCUGACUGUAACUGCACCUGUGGAGAGGUGAGGACCUGUCCCCUCUACACCGAUGGCCAGAGCCUCCAGAGUGGGGCCAGGCUUUUCCCUCAGCUGUGUCCUGUCAGGUUUAUCUAGGCCUCAAAGAAUAGACCCUGGACAUUGCCUCUGGCAAUGUGAGCUGGACACACACCCAGAUGUAAGGUAGCCCUGCCAAGUAUCCUGGGGUUGCCAGUAGUUCUGGGUGCUCAGUGUCUGGAGCGGAGGGUGGGAAGGAGGCUUGAUGCAGAACAAGAACCAUAUGUCACAUACUAUUUUAUUCUUUAUUAGUGUUUUUGUCAUAAAAAACCCCACGGGUACCAUAAAAGAUAAAAGAUCUAAAAAUGGUGCCCUUUAAUCAAAAGUAAACACCCUUUAACCAUCAGAGAGAGGGAGAAGUUUGGCAGCUGACCUAGAAGCCCCAUCAACUGCCCCAGCUCAAUGAUAAACUCUUCUCUUCUUCAAAUAAAAGCACAUCCUGGCUUACAUGGCCAUCACUUCUUUGUACAAUUUUAUAUUUUUAUCAUCUAAAGUUAUAGUUUAGUUUUACCUUUAAGAGUAUAUUUUUAUCCUCAUUUAUUCCAUAGAUUCCUGCUUGAAAUUUAUAUUGUCUGGUAGUUUCCUGUCCUUUGCAUUUUGCAGAUUGCACCCCAAGGUGUGGUUUAAUGUAUCUCUAUGACCUGUAUUUUCUGUAAAUUGGUAGUUUGUUAUAGAGGUUUGCGUCUAUUCAGG